rnacentral:rRNA from 1 species
UACGAAGGGGGCUAGCGUUGUUCGGAUUUACUGGGCGUAAAGCGCCCGUAGGCGGAUCGUUAAGUCGGGGGUGAAAGCCUGUGGCUCAACCACAGAAUGGCCUUCGAUACUGGGACGCUUGAGUAUGGUAGAGGUUGGUGGAACUGCGAGUGUAGAGGUGAAAUUCGUAGAUAUUCGCAAGAACACCGGUGGCGAAGGCGGCCAACUGGACCAUUACUGACGCUGAGGCGCGAAAGCGUGGGGAGCAAACAGG